rnacentral:misc_RNA from 1 species
ACAAACUUGGUCAUUUAGAGGAAGUAAAAGUCGUAACAAGGUCUCCGUUGGUGAACCAGCGGAGGGAUCAUUACAGAGUUGCAAAACUCCCAAACCCUUGUGAACGUACCUGUCGAAAAGUUGCUUCGGUGGGCGGCCCCAGGGCGGGGCCUCGGCCUCUUUUGCGAGGUGCCCACCGGAGGUUUUUUCCAAACUCUUUGCAUUAUACGGUGGCCUCUCUGAGUACGUAUCAUAAUAAGUCAAAACUUUCAACAACGGAUCUCUUGGUUCUGGCAUCGAUGAAGAACGCAGC